rnacentral:lncRNA from 10 species
GACAUUUGGUGCUGAAAACCUGGGACAGGAGGACUCCUUUGGGAGACCAGCCCCCUGUCCUCGCCCUCACUCCAUGAGGAGAUCCACCUACGACCUUGGGUCCUCAGACCAGCCAGCCCAAGGAACAUCUCACCAAUUUCAAAUCGGAUCUCCUUGGCUCAACAGCUGAAGACUGACGCUGCCCAAUCGCUUUGGAAGCUCCGGGACUAUCACGGACCCCGAGCUUCGAGUAACUCUUACAGUGGAGGGUAGCACCGGUCAAAGACUUCUUGUGUGGUAAACACUUAGGAUAAAGUGCACAGGCGAUUGCUUGAAAAAACUAUGACACAAGUAUCAUCUUUGUCUUCCAAUACCAGAAUGACAAUGAACC